rnacentral:rRNA from 1 species
UGGCUCAGGACCGAACGCUGGCGGCGUGCCUUAACACAUGCAAGUCGAACGAAGCAAUUUAGCGGAAGUUUUCGGAUGGAAGCUAGAUUGACUGAGUGGCGGACGGGUGAGUAACGCGUGGGUAACCUGCCUCACACUGGGGGACAACAGUUAGAAAUGACUGCUAAUACCGCAUAAGCGCACAGGACCGCAUGGUCCGGUGUGAAAAACUCCGGUGGUGUGAGAUGGACCCGCGUUUGAUUAGCUAGUUGGUGGGGUAACGGCCUACCAAGGCGACGAUCAAUAGCCGACCUGAGAGGGGACCGGCCACAUUGGGACUGAGACACGGCCC